GUAACACGUAGAUAAUCUAUCCUAUACUGGGGGAUAGCCCGAUGAAAGUUGGAUUAAUACCGCAUAUAGCUAUAUAGUUGCAUGAUUAUGUAGUGAAAGAUUUAUUGGUAUAGGAGGAGUCUGCGGCACAUUAGCUAGUAGGUGAGGUAAAGGCUUACCUAGGCGACGAUGUGUAGCCGGUCUGAGAGGAUGAACGGCCACAAUGGAACUGAGACACGGUCCAUACUCCUACGGGAGGCAGCAGUGGGGAAUAUUGCACAAUGGGGGAAACCCUGAUGCAGCAACGCCGCGUGAGUGAAGAAGGUUUUCGGAUUGUAAAGCUCUGUUAGCAGGGAAGAGGAAGGACGGUACCAGCAGAGGAAGCCACGGCUAACUACGUGCCAGCAGCCGCGGUAAUACGUAGGUGGCAAGCGUUGUUCGGAAUAACUGGGCGUAAAGGAUGCGUAGGCAGUUAAACAAGUUAUAUGUUAAAUAUAUAGGCUUAACCUGUAGAAAGCAUAUAAAACUGUUUAACUAGAGUGCAGGAGAGGUAAGUGGAAUUCCUAGUGUAGCGGUGAAAUGCGUAGAGAUUAGGAAGAACACCAGUGGCGAAGGCGACUUACUGGACUGUAACUGACGCUGAGGCAUGAGAGCAUGGGGAGCAAACAGGAUUAGAUACCCUGGUAGUCCAUGCUGUAAACGAUGGGUACUAGGUGUGGGUUGUGAAUAACAAUUCGUGCCGUCG
rnacentral:rRNA from 1 species